rnacentral:rRNA from 1 species
GGAAGUAAAAGUCGUAACAAGGUUUCCGUAGGUGAACCUGCGGAAGGAUCAUUAACGAACUCUUGGAAGGGAUGUCCGCUGCUGCUGGGCCUUUUCGGAGGUCAUCGUGCACGCGGGUCUCUCUUCUUGUUCAGCCAUCUACCCCUAUCUGUGUACCCCUCGUAGGCUGAGAUCUCUCGGCCUAUGGCUUUUCCUCUCACAAAGCCUCCCAGCGAUCUCUGUGAAUGGCAUCUGCGCGAGCCUGUCUCGGCGUAGCACAAAUAUAGUACAACUUUCAACAACGGAUCUCUUGGCUCUCGCAUCGAUGAAGAACGCAGCGAAAUGCGAUAAGUAAUGUGAAUUGCAGAAUUCAGUGAAUCAUCGAAUCUUUGAACGCAACUUGCGCCCCUUGGUACUCCGAAGGGCAUGCCUGUUUGAGUGUCAUCGAAAACAUCAACCCCGCGGGGGAGGGCUUUCGAGCCCUUCUCAUCGGCGGUUUUGGAGCUUGCGGCGUGCGGGGAAGCUCUCGCGAGCGGCUCCGCUCCUCGCGGAAUACAUCAGCGGACGGCCGACUUGCGGAUCCAGCCUGGGCGUGAUAGCUGUCUACGUCCUGGCUUAUGGGCCGCGCUCCUUGGCUCCGCUUCGAGCGCGGUCCGUCACUUAUUGCGACGGACCAUUGACGAUUUGACCUCAAAUCAGGUAGGAUUACCCGCUGAACUUAAGCAUAUCAAUAAGCGGAGGAAAAGAAACUAAC